GACUCUAAAAAGUGGGCAGAGCCACAAACAACCAAUCAGAUUUUCCCUAUUGACUUCAAUGAGAAACCUUUAAAAAGCUGUCAUUCUCACAGUAUUUAAGCCACAGCACCCAAACUCGGCAGGGUGGGUCAGUGUGUGACAAAGGCUAAAAUUUAUAAAACUGGGCGGAGUCUACAAUGGCCAAUCAAAUUUUAGCCAUUUGUUUAAAUGG